GGAAGUGUGCCCGAACCGCUACAAGGACUACUUUGAUAGAGUAUGAUAUAGAGGUUAAAUUCCUCUCAUUUCCU
rnacentral:tRNA from 1 species